GCAAGCGUUAAUCGGAAUUACUGGGCGUAAAGCGUGCGCAGGCGGUUUUGUAAGACUGUCGUGAAAUCCCCGGGCUCAACCUGGGGAAUGGCGAUGGUGACUGCAAGGCUAGAGUUUGGCAGAGGGGGGUAGAAUUCCACGUGUAGCAGUGAAAUGCGUAGAUAUGUGGAGGAACACCGAUGGCGAAGGCAGCCCCCUGGGUCAAAACUGACGCUCAUGCACGAAAGCGUGGGGAGCAAACAGGAUUAGAUACCCUGGUAGUCCACGCCCUAAACGAUGUCUACUAGUUGUCGGGUCUUAAUUGACUUGGUAACGCAGCUAACGCGUGAAGUAGACCGCCUGGGGAGUACGGUCGCAAGAUUAAAACUCAAAGGAAUUGACGGGGACCCGCACAAGCGGUGGAUGAUUUGGAUUAAUUCGAUGCAACGCGAAAAACCUUACCUACCCUUUGACAUGGAAAGAAUCCCCCAANAGAUUGGGGAAUUGCUCCAAAAGAAAACCUUUACACAGUUCUGCAUGCUGUCCUUCACUCCUGUUCCUUGAGAAUUUGGUUUAAUUCCCCCCACCAACCCCACCCUUGUCAUUAAUUGCUACAAAAGGCNUCUUAUAAACUGCCCGGUGACAACCCGAGAANGUGGGAAUAACUUCAAUUCCCCNUGCCCCUAUGGUUUGGNUUCCCCUUCCUACAAUGGUUCAUACAAAGGCNC
rnacentral:rRNA from 1 species